rnacentral:misc_RNA from 1 species
AUCAAUGAAAUGGUGGCUUCACUAAGGAACUUGCAACUUGGCAAGGUAAACUCCUUGCCGCCAUCUUGGAAUGCCCAGAUUGGUGGAUCCGGGUUCGGAUCUCCAAGAGGGUCAAUGGUCCGACCCGGAUUCUGUAGCCUGCCGUCAACUCCGACCUGUGGUCCUACCCGUUCUGGACUGAGUUAUUGUGAUGUCUGGGAAAAUGUUUGCGAGGAGGAGCCUGCGAUGGAGAGAG